rnacentral:snRNA from 1 species
AUGCUUGCUUUGGCAGCACAUAUCCUAAAACUGGAACAAUAAAGAGAUUAGUGUGGCCCCUGCACAUGCAAAUUCAUGACACAUUCCAUAUUUUC